rnacentral:rRNA from 1 species
GAUGAACGCUGGCGGCGUGCCUAAUACAUGCAAGUCGAGCGAACGGACGAGAAGCUUGCUUUUUUGAUGUUAGCGGCGGACGGGUGAGUAACACGUGGAUAACCUACCUAUAAGACUGGGCUAACUUCGGGAAACCGGAGCUAAUACUGCAUAAUAUUUUGAACCGCAUGGUUCAAAAGUGAAAGACGGUUUUGCUGUCACUUAUAGACGGACCCGCGCUGCAUUAGCUAGUUGGUAAGGUAACGGCCUACCAAGGCAACGACGCAUAGCCGACCUGAGAGAGUGAUCGGCCACACUGGAACGGAGACACGGUCCAGACUCCUACGGGAGGCAGCAGUAGGGAAUCGUCCGCAAUGGGCGAAAGCCUGACGGAGCAACGCCGCGUGAGUGAUGAAGGUCUUCGGAUCGUAAAGCUCUGUUAUUAGGGAAGAACAUAUGUGUGUGUAACUGUGCACAUCUUGACGGUACCUAAUCAAAAAGCCACGGCUAACUACGUG